CAGUCGCCACGGUAAUACGUAGGGUGCGAGCGUUAAUCGGAAUUACUGGGCGUAAAGCGUGCGCAGGCGGUUGUGUAAGACAGGUGUGAAAUCCCCGGGCUUAACCUGGGAACUGCGCUUGUGACUGCACAGCUAGAGUAUGGCAGAGGGGGGUGGAAUUCCACGUGUAGCAGUGAAAUGCGUAGAGAUGUGGAGGAACACCGAUGGCGAAGGCAGCCCUCUGGGCCAAUACUGACGCUCAUGCACGAAAGCGUGGGGAGCAAACAGGAUUAGAUACCCCCGUAGUCCCUGUCUCUUAUAA
rnacentral:rRNA from 1 species